rnacentral:misc_RNA from 1 species
GGGACAGAAAAAGGAGGCCGAAGAUACUUUUUUUCCCCCUGUCCAAUUGGUGCACCAAACAAAGGAUCAAGGGGGAUUGUCCAGUCCAGUCUAGUCCAUUGUAUCAAACCACUAUUUAUGUAGACACUCAGACAUGCUCUUAUUGGAAUUUGCAUUAAGGCCUUGAAUACAGACUGAACAUGGGGAAGAAGCAUCUAAAUAUUUAAUGAGUAGUUCAGUGAUAAUGAUUAGUUAACUGAUUCCUUGCUUAUACAAAGCUGAAAAAGCAUGUUUUUAUACAUAAUGAAUCAUCAGAGAGCCGCACUGCUUAGCAAAAUGAUGCAGUAGUGACAAUGACUGAAAAGAAUGACUUUUGCUUUAUUUUUACUAAUGAAUUUCCUCUUUUCUUUAUGUUUGUGGUGGGUACUUUAAUUAUUUUUCCACAUGUAGAAUGGCCAGUUAUUUUAGAUAUAGGGGUGAAGUAUAACUUUUGUGAGAACAUUUUUUUUUCUAAAAAAACUUGGCUUCAUGUUCCCAGCUCCCCUCCAAACGAAAAAACCUCUUCCAAAACCUAAAACAAAAUCUUUGUUGCUUCUUUUGACUGAUCAGAUAUAUUAUUCUAGAUUUUCUACAUCUGAUAAUCUCUCUUGUCCAUCCUUUACAGAAGUUCAUCCUUGGUGGGAGGUUG